rnacentral:rRNA from 1 species
ACGCACACACGCGCGGCAUAUCAAUAAGCGGAGGAAAAGAAACUAACAAGGAUUCCCUUAGUAACGGCGAGUGAAGCGGGAAGAGCUCAAAUUUGAAAUCUUCAAGGUUUUACCUUGACGAAUUGUAGUUUAAAGAAGUGUUUUCUGUUGGAGUUUUGGUAAAAGUUCUUUGGAAUAGGACAUCAUAGAGGGUGAGAAUCCCGUAUUUGGUCAUUCUUUCUAGCUUUGUGAUACACUUUCAACGAGUCGGAUUGUUUGGGAAUGCAGUCCAAAAUGGGUGGUAAAUUUCAUCUAAAGCUAAAUAUUGGCGAGAGACCGAUAGCGAACAAGUACCGUGAGGGAAAGAUGAAAAGAACUUUGAAAAGAGAGUUAAACAGUACGUGAAAUUGUCAAAAGGGAAGCGUUUGACACCAGUGUUGUUUUUUCCGAAAAUCAAUUACGAAUGUUUUGUUUUUGAGAAGUUAUGACUUCAUCGGCUUGCUUCUCUCUUUACGAAACUUUCUUAAUGCACUUUUCGGUUAACAAGUCAACAUCAAUUUCUUUUGUUGUAAAAGGGUAUGCGGAAGGUGGCUUUCUUUUCGGAGAAAGUGUUUAUAGCCCUAUACUUCUAGCAAUCGGAGAGAUUGAGGUCUGCAGCGUAGAUCCUUCGGGGUUAGAUACAUUUGUGCUAAGUUAUAGCUUUUCAUAGACAACUUGUUGACUAUGUUUAGUCUUGUAGCUUACUCGCUUAUGCUAUUUUACCUACGCUUAGGAUGUUGAUAGUCACAGCGUGUAC